CAGCAAUUGAGGAGGCCUUCAUGAAGGAGAGAGACACCUGUAAGCUGACCCUCGAAGCCAUGAAGAACAGAGGAGAGAUCCACCUGGGCAAAGUCCUGGAACUUGGGAGUGGAGAGGAGCGGAUGCGUGUGAGAAAGUUCACACAUGCUGUGGGGGAAGCCAGCGCCGGGAACUGGAGUUAGAACAAGAUGUGCGUAGCUCUAAGAGGUACCGUGGUAGACUUGUCACUGCUUUGUGGAUUUGGUUGACUCGAGUUUGAUUCUUUAUCCUCUCUUUUUUUGAGACGAGAGUUUUGCUCUUGUUGUCCAGGCUGUAG
rnacentral:lncRNA from 1 species